rnacentral:lncRNA from 1 species
UUGACACCAGGUCACAAAAUUAUUAAACCUUCAAGUGGCUACACUUCCUUCUCCACGUGAGCCCUCACUUCUCCUUAACAUUUUACUCUGGCAAUCCCUUCAGGCUUCUGGCCUUUUCUCCCUCCCUUUGACCCUCAUAACUAAUUAAAUCUGGACAAGUCUUUGGUGAAAAUAGUUUCCUUUAAAGUUAUUCAUUCAAAGUUCCCCUUAAGGCAUUCUUUGUCACUUUGGCCCACCCUGCAAUCUUUACAUGAAGUUGAAAGAAGUGAGCUAUUUUUAUAAGAU